rnacentral:rRNA from 1 species
GUGGGGAAUUUUGGACAAUGGGCGAAAGCCUGAUCCAGCCAUGCCGCGUACAGGAUGAAGGCCUUCGGGUUGUAAACUGCUUUUGUACGGAACGAAAAGACUCCUUCUAAUAAAGGGGGUCCAUGACGGUACCGUAAGAAUAAGCACCGGCUAACUACGUGCCAGCAGCCGCGGUAAUACGUAGGGUGCAAGCGUUAAUCGGAAUUACUGGGCGUAAAGCGUGCGCAGGCGGUUAUAUAAGACAGAUGUGAAAUCCCCGGGCUCAACCUGGGAACUGCAUUUGUGACUGUAUAGCUAGAGUACGGUAGAGGGGGAUGGAAUUCCGCGUGUAGCAGUGAAAUGCGUAGAUAUGCGGAGGAACACCAAUGGCGAAGGCAAUCCCCUGGGCCUGUACUGACGCUCAUGCACGAAAGCGUGGGGAGCAAACAGGAUUAGAUACCCCUGUAGUCC